UCUGGAGGACUUGAAAAAGGACCUGUCAGAAAUUAAGCAUACACUGACUGAAAUAAAGACUAAUUUACAAAGAUCCAGCAGUAGAUGAGAGGAUUCUGAGAAUCAAAUCAAUGAUUUGAAAUAUAAAACAAAAAACACCAAAUCAGAAGAAUAAAAAUAAAAAAUAAAAAUAUGAAGAUAGUAUAAGGAGCUUCUGAGACAACUUCAAGCAUACCAAUAUUUGCACUAUGGGUAUGCCAAAAGAAGAAGAUAGAGAGCAAGACAUUGAAAACCUGUCUGAAUAACUAAUGACAUAAUACUUCCCCUCUCUGGUGAAAGAAAUAGACUUACAAGUCCAGGUAGCACAGAGUCCCAAACAAGAGGAACACAAAGAGAACCUCACCA